AUUGAACGCUGGCGGCAUGCCUAACACAUGCAAGUCGAACGGGGCAGCAAUGCCUAGUGGCGGACGGGUGAGGAAUACGUAGGAAUCUGCCCUUAAGUGGGGGAUAACCAGGGGAAACCCUGACUAAUACCGCAUGAUCUCUUCGGAGCAAAGAGGGGGACCGCAAGGCCUCUCGCUUCUGGAUGAGCCUACGUCUGAUUAGCUAGUUGGUAGGGUAAAGGCCUACCAAGGCGACGAUCAGUAACUGGUCUGAGAGGAUGAUCAGUCACACCGGAACUGAGACACGGUCCGGACUCCUACGGGAGGCAGCAGUGGGGAAUAUUGGACAAGGGGCGCAAGCCUGAUCCAGCAAUGCCGCGUGUGUGGAGAAGGCCUUCGGGUUGUAAAGCACUUUAGCCUGGAAAGAAAAGGGUCUGGCUAAUAUCCGGGCCUCAUGACGGUACCUGAAGAAUAAGCACCGGCUAACUACGUGCCAGCAGCCGCAGUAACAC
rnacentral:rRNA from 1 species